AGUCUGGUGCCAGCAGCCGCGGUAAUUCCAGCUCCAUCAGUGUAUAUUAACGUUGUUGCGGUUAAAAAGCUCGUAGUUGGAUUUCGGAGUGCGAAGGACAAGGCCCGUCAAUUGGCGUGGUCCGUCAGUCGCCUCCUAGCUUAGGGUAAUAGCCUCUCUUCCUUUACGGGUUGGGAUGUGCCGUUCCCUAUCUUUUACUUUGAUAAAAUCAGAGUGUUCAAAGCAGGCGUCACUUGCCUUGAAUGUUGCCGCAAGGGAUAAUAGAAUAUGACUUCGGUCUUAUUUUGUUGGUUUCUAGGGCUGAAGUAAUGACUAAUAGGGACAGUUGGGGGCGCUCGUAUUGAGUUGUCAGAGGUGAAAUUCUAGGAUUUACUCAAGACGAACUACUGCGAAAGCAUUCGCCAAGGAUGUUUUCAUUAAUCAAGAACGAAAGUUGGGGGAUCGAAGAUGAUCAGAUACCGUCGUAGUCUCAACCAUAAACUAUGUGGACCAACGAUCCGAGGAAGUUACAUGGAUGACUCUCCGGGCAGUUUGUGAGAAAUCAUAAGUAUUUGCAUUCCGGGGGGAGUAUGGUCGCAAGGCUGAAACUUAAAGGAAUUGACGGAAGGGCACCACCAGGAGUGGAACCUGCGGCUUAAUUUGACCCAACACGGGGAAACUUACCAGGUCCGGACACAGUUAGGAUUGACAGAUUGAGAGCUCUUUCUUGAUUCUGUGGGUGUGGUGCAUGGCCGUUUUUAGUUGGUGGAGUGAUUUGUCUGGUUAAUUCCGUUAACGAACGAGACCUUAACCUAUUAAUUAGUUAUGCGAACUUGAACUUCGGUUCUUUCGGUUCGUGGACAACUUCUUAGAGGGACUCUCGGCAUUUCUAGUCGAUGGAAGUUUGAGGCUAAAACAGGUCUGUGAUGCCCUUAGAUGUCCUGGGCCGCACGCGCGUUACACUGACGAAUGCAACGAGUUCUUCCUUCUCCGAUGGGAGUGGGUAAGCUUUUAAAAGUUCGUCGUGAUGGGGAUUGAACCUUGCAAUUAUUGUUCAUGAACGAGGAAUUCCUAGUAAGCGUAGUUCAUCAAACUGCGUUGAUUACGUCCCUGCCCUUUGUACACACCGCCCGUCGCUAGUACCGAUUGAAUGAUCCGGUGAGGAUUCAGGAUGGCAGAGUUUUAGCUUGCCUGAAAGGGUAAGCGGAUUCAGCCAGAAUUUGUUCAAACCGUGUCAUUUAGAGGAACU
rnacentral:rRNA from 1 species